rnacentral:rRNA from 1 species
AUUGAACGCUGGCGGCAGGCCUAACACAUGCAAGUCGAACGGUAACAGGGAUCAGCUUGCUGAUUCGCUGACGAGUGGCGGACGGGUGAGUAAUGUCUGGGAAACUGCCUGAUGGAGGGGGAUAACUACUGGAAACGGUAGCUAAUACCGCAUAACGUCGCAAGACCAAAGAGGGGGACCUUCGGGCCUUUUGCCAUCGGAUGUGCCCAGAUGGGAUUAGCUAGUAGGUGGGGUAACGGCUCACCUAGGCGACGAUCCCUAGCUGGUCUGAGAGGAUGACCAGCCACACUGGAACUGAGACACGGUCCAGACUCCUACGGGAGGCAGCAGUGGGGAAUAUUGCACAAAGGGCGCAAGCCUGAUGCAGCCAUGCCGCGUGUAUGAAGAAGGCCUUCGGGUUGUAAAGUACUUUCAGCGGGGAGGAAGGGAGUAAAGUUAAUACCUUUGCUCAUUGACGUUACCCGCAGAAGAAGCACCGGCUAACUCCGUG